rnacentral:rRNA from 1 species
UAAUACGGAGGGUCCGAGCGUUAUCCGGAAUUAUUGGGUUUAAAGGGUCCGUAGGCGGGCAGCUAAGUCAGUGGUGAAAGUCUGCAGCUCAACUGUAGAAUUGCCAUUGAUACUGGUUGUCUUGAAUUAUUAUGAAGUGAUUAGAAUAUGUAGUGUAGCGGUGAAAUGCAUAGAUAUUACAUAGAAUACCAAUUGCGAAGGCAGAUCACUAAUAAUAUAUUGACGCUGAUGGACGAAAGCGUGGGGAGCGAACAGGAUUAGAUACCCUGGUAGUCCACGCCGUAAACGAUGGAUACUAGCUGUUCGAUCUUCGGAUUGAGUGGCUAAGCGAAAGUGAUAAGUAUCCCACCUGGGGAGUACGUUCGCAAGAAUG